UCCAUUUUUUAUCAUUCACAUACAAACAAAACAAUAAAACUUGAAUAAAAACACAGAUGUUGUCAAUCAAUCUCAUUAACAAAAAAUAAAAUAAGAGAUCUGAAUAAAAUAAAAACACAAGAUCUAGUAAACAUGGUAGUAUAACAUAUGAAGAUUAUAAAAACUAUGUAAAAGUGUGAAGAAAGUUGAGUGGAAGAAGGCAUAAGCGA
rnacentral:lncRNA from 1 species